CUCUACAAAGUCAUAGUCAAAAGGUUAUUACCUUACCAAACACAAGGUUAAUCCUUUUUUCACCUAAGGCCAAACAAUCUCAUUGACUAGGGCCUCCUACGACUAAACAAUGGUUAUUAGAGUUCACAAUAGUCUCUAGUCUACAUGAGUAUGAACGAUUAUUAGAGUUCACAAUAAUUUCUUAUUGAUCCAUACAUCAAUGCAUACACUAAAGAAAUGUCAUAUAGAAUCUCCCCACAAUAUUCCUAGAAUUAGGUUAAACACAUACAAUGCUCAUAUUCAUUAACAAGCUCAUCAUCAU
rnacentral:lncRNA from 1 species